UGUGCGUACAAAUAACACGGCUUUACACUUUCCAAUUGCGUGCGCUGUGUACACCAAACUCCAAUUGUGCGUGCAUAUGAUACGCAAAUCCUUCCCAUUAACUUUGGUGGACAGCAGAUCCGUCCACUAUUCAAAGCAGAAAUGUAACACAGAGUCACACACUCAGAAGCCUGAAGUUACAGGACAAUCUAAAGUGACCUGGUGGAAGAGGGACCAUGAUGGUCAGCGUGUGACUACCAGCAAACAGAGGAAAAAAGGUUCAUCUGCUGUUGGUACUUCUCCAUGUGCUAGUUUCUCUGUCACAACGUCACCAACUCCUAGCUACAAUAAUUCUGGU